rnacentral:rRNA from 1 species
CCUACGGGGGGCAGCAGUGAGGAAUAUUGGUCAAUGGCCGAGAGGCUGAACCAGCCAAGUAGCGUGAGGGAUGAAUGCCCUAUGGGUUGUAAACCUCUUUUAUCUGGGAAUAAAGCAGCGUAUGCAUACCCUCUGGUGUGUACCAUAUGAAUAAGGAUCGGCUAACUCCGUGCCAGCAGCCGCGGUAAUACGGAGGAUCCGAGCGUUAUCCGGAUUUAUUGGGUUUAAAGGGAGCGUAGGUGGAUUGUUAAGUCAGUGGUGAAAGUUUGCGGCUCAACCGUAAACCUGCAGUUGAAACUGGCAGUCUUGAGUACAGGAGAGGUAGGCGGAAUGCGUGGUGUAGCGGUGAAAUGCUUAGAUAUCACGAAGAACUCCGAUUGCGAAGGCAGCUCACUGGACUGCAACUGACACUGAUGCUCGAAAGUGUGGGUAUCAAACAGGAUUAGAUACCCGAGUAGUC